CGCUGGCGGCGUGCUUAACACAUGCAAGUCGAACGAUGAUGCCCAGCUUGCUGGGUGGAUUAGUGGCGAACGGGUGAGUAACACGUGAGUAACCUGCCCUUGACUUCGGGAUAACUCCGGGAAACCGGGGCUAAUACCGGAUAUGAGCCGUCCUCGCAUGGGGGUGGUUGGAAAGUUUUUCGGUCAGGGAUGGGCUCGCGGCCUAUCAGCUUGUUGGUGGGGUGAUGGCCUACCAAGGCGACGACGGGUAGCCGGCCUGAGAGGGCGACCGGCCACACUGGGACUGAGACACGGCCCAGACUCCUACGGGAGGCAGCAGUGGGGAAUAUUGCACAAUGGGCGAAAGCCUGAUGCAGCGACGCCGCGUGAGGGAUGAAGGCCUUCGGGUUGUAAACCUCUUUCAGCAGGGAAGAAGCGCAAGUGACGGUACCUGCAGAAGAAGCGCCGGCUAACUACGUGCCAGCAGCCGCGGUAAUACGUAGGGCGCAAGCGUUGUCCGGAAUUAUUGGGCGUAAAGAGCUCGUAGGCGGUUUGUCGCGUCUGGUGUGAAAACUCGAGGCUCAACCUCGAGCUUGCAUCGGGUACGGGCAGACUAGAGUGCGGUAGGGGAGACUGGAAUUCCUGGUGUAGCGGUGGAAUGCGCAGAUAUCAGGAGGAACACCGAUGGCGAAGGCAGGUCUCUGGGCCGCAACUGAC
rnacentral:rRNA from 1 species